GCCGGGAUAGCUCAGCUGGGAGAGCAACAGACUGAAGUACUACAGCAAGGAGGCGUUCUGGAGGUCCCGUGUUCAAUCCACGGUCCUGGCA